rnacentral:pre_miRNA from 1 species
CGAUUGAUGGAUGUUGAAAAGCGAGGGAUUUUUUUAGCUAAAAAAAUCCCUCGCUUUUCAACAUCCAUCAAUCG